rnacentral:rRNA from 1 species
UACGUAGGGUGCAAGCGUUAAUCGGAAUUACUGGGCGUAAAGCGUGCGCAGGCGGCUUUGCAAGACAGAUGUGAAAUCCCCGGGCUCAACCUGGGAACUGCAUUUGUGACUGCAUGGCUAGAGUGCGGCAGAGGGGGAUGGAAUUCCGCGUGUAGCAGUGAAAUGCGUAGAUAUGCGGAGGAACACCGAUGGCGAAGGCAAUCCCCUGGGCCUGUACUGACGCUCAUGCACGAAAGCGUGGGGAGCAAACAGG